rnacentral:lncRNA from 1 species
UGCGGCAGCCCUGGAUUUCUUCCGAGCAGGAGAUGGGGCAGAUAUUCCAGGGGAGGCUGGACGCUUGUCCCCGGUCUUUGAUGGAAUGCCCUCAGAACCCUCAGGUUCGGUCCUCACAGGGGCAGGAGCAUCUCAGGUAAAAACCUCUGGAAUUGGGUCCUCUAUAAGGACGAUCUCCAGCCCUGUCCCAGAGGCCUCCUUAUCUUUAGCAACAGGGGACUUAGACUUUCCCCCUAAUACCCUUUCAGGAGAAUGGGCAAUACCCUGCUCCACUUGUUCAGCACCUUGGGUCUGCUCCACAAUAGCUAGGGAGGCUUCCCUCACGACCUCUGA